rnacentral:rRNA from 1 species
GGGGAAUAUUGCACAAUGGGGGAAACCCUGAUGCAGCCAUGCCGCGUGUGUGAAGAAGGCCUUCGGGUUGUAAAGCACUUUCAGCGAGGAGGAAAGGAGGAUAGCUAAUACCUAUUCUCUGUGACGUUACUCGCAGAAGAAGCACCGGCUAACUCCGUGCCAGCAGCCGCGGUAAUACGGAGGGUGCAAGCGUUAAUCGGAAUUACUGGGCGUAAAGCGCACGCAGGCGGUCAGAUAAGUCAGAUGUGAAAGCCCCGGGCUCAACCUGGGAACUGCAUUUGAAACUGUCUGACUAGAGUCUUGUAGAGGGGGGUAGAAUUCCAGGUGUAGCGGUGAAAUGCGUAGAGAUCUGGAGGAAUACCGGUGGCGAAGGCGGCCCCCUGGACAAAGACUGACGCUCAGGUGCGAAAGCGUGGGGAGCAAAC